CACAGAGAGGUGAAUAUUUGAAAUAUACUGAGUUCUAGUAAUCAUAAACAAUCACACACAGCACAUUGAAAUAUACAGAGUACUAGUAAUCAUUAGUCGUACUUGUGCAGAUAGUAGAAUCAAAUCAAAAUCCUACACACAAAACUAGGUUCGGUUCCAUAUAGUCAAUUAGUCUUUGUAAUUCCUAAGCACGCGGCGAACAGUUUCAACAAAAUCCUACAAUUAUCAGAAAUUAACCACUGAAACACGAGAACAAAUUUCGAUAAUAUCCAAUAGAUUCAGCUUACGUAUCAUACACACGAAACCUUUCAUAGAUCUAGUUCUGAUUUGUUAGUCCGUAAAUAGAAUCACUAAUCAAGGAUAUCUGUGCACAAAUCACACUCACACAGCUGUACACAUCAAUGGAUUUAGACAGAAAAUUUGUAACCAACAGAUUCAUAAUCAAGCAACUAUCGGAAACAGAACACGAUGAUGUACACAAAACUAGAUUCGAUUCUCAUUCAAAAAAUUUCAAACAGAAUGAUUAAUAAUCUACCGAAGCGUACACAAACACACACAACAUACCCAACUGUCAGAAUCGACCAAUUCAGAUUACUGAUAUCUAAGCAAUUCUAAAAACGAAUGAAACAAAAAGCAAAUUAACAGUAAUUAACUUAAUGAGAGAGAUAAGCGCCAUAAACAAACUCCAGUUGGAUAAUUCCCAAAUGAAAUUCCAUGUAAAAGCCCCAAUUCCAAGCUUCGAGAAAAAGCUCAAAUCAUCUGAAAAAUGUAGAUUGUCGAUCAUAGUUAGUACAAAAUCGAUGAAAUAAUUAAAAUAUAUACCAAUCAGAAGAAACUCUUGGAAACGCAUGAAACUUAUGAAGACCCCUGAAUUCGAUCUUUCAAUUGGCUAUUUCAGUUGGCGAGAAUGAAAGAGAGCGAAGGCUGAACCCAACUAAGGUGAUGAUGUUAAGAAGAGAAAAGUAAUAGAUCUACUUUAACAAGAAAAUGAGAGCAGGAAGAGGAAAAUUCAUUCAGCAAAAAACAAGAUUGUACCAAGUCUGAGAAUUACAACCAGGGUGGAGGCAUAAAUAACAACCUAGUACUAUUACUGACACAGGACCAUACACCAACAGGCUGUGCAUUGGCCCGUUAGAAUUAAACAAGCAAAACGAUGUAGUUUAAUAAACUAACAGAUUCCCUCCACUAAGCUGCAAAUGACCUCUAUUGUAUUCCCGCCUUUUAUGAUAGAUAAAUUGGUUUGGGCCAAUCGUAACAGCUGCCCUCUUCUUAAAUUCAUCCUUGUCCUCAAGGAUGGAAGUCAGGAAACUUCUUAGAGAAUCUGUCCCAGCGCUACCAGGUGGCAUUUUCAGCAUCUCCAUUCUCCCAUUGCACUUGAAUCAUGACAACCGGAGAAUUACCAUGUUUAAUCAGCUUCCUGUCCAGAAUUGCAGUUGGCUGGGGAUGUAGUGCACCAUCUUCAUUCAUGCCUGGCAAGGUAGUCUGCACCAAUUUGUGAGUUCCAAUUUUUUUCUUCAGCUGCGAGACGUGGAAGACAUUGUGUAACUUGCUCCCUGCUGGCAGUAGUAGCCGAUAUGCAACUUUCCCAAUUCUUUCAGUAACUUUGUAUGGACCAAAAAAUUUGGCCGACAGUUUGUGAUUCCUCCUUGUGACCAGAGAGUGUUGCCUAUAAGGCUGCAGUUUUAAGAAGACUUCAUCACCGACGGAAAAUUCUCUUUCUGUCCUCUUUUUAUUAGCAUACCACCGCAUCCUUUCCUGAGAUUUAACCAAGUUUUCCUUGACUAAUUGCUGAGUUUCCCGUCUCUUCUGCAAAAGCUCAUUAACACUUGCAUCAUUUGUUUUUGUGUACUGGUAACUGAUGGAGGGAGGGGGGGGUUGAGUAUAAUGCCUGGUAAGGAGACAUUCCCAAAGCACUGUGGUGGUUAGUAUUAUACCACCAUUCUGCAAGUGCUAACCAAUUAACCCAGUCAUGGGGUUUUUGUCCAGUCAUGCAUCUGAGGUACAUCUCAAUGCAUUGGUUGACUCGUUCAGUUUGACCAUCAGUUUGAGGAUGGUAAGCUGAGCUGAGUUUAAGCUUGGUUCCAAGAGCAGCGAAAAGGGCUUUCCAGAAUUGACUAACAAAUAUCGGAUCUCUAUCUGAUAUAAUAGCUUGGGGAGCGCCAUGCAAUUUUAUCACAGAAGAUAAUAGUUCCUGAGCAACUGAUAAUGCGGUGUAAGGUGAGAUAGAGGGAUUAGAUGGCAAUACCUGGUUAACUUGUCCACCACCACAAGAAUGACAUUUUUUCCCUUGGAUUUAGGUAAACCUUCAAUAAAAUCCAUUGAUAUAACCUCCCAAGCAUGCUGAGGUAUUUCAAUCAGUUGGAGUAAUCCAGGAGUAGCGAUAUGUUCAGGCUUAUUUCUUUGGCAGAUUUCACAUGCUUUGAUGUGGUUGGUAAUGUCAUUCUUCAUUCCAGGCCAAUAGAAGAUUCUUUCUGCUCUCUUGAAGGUUGCUGUGAUGCCUGAAUGGCCUCCCUCAGCAUUGCUGUGGAUGGUAGCACAAAUCUUGGCUCUUAAGUCACCUCCAGUGCCUACAUAGUACUUCCCAUCUUUUUUAAGAAUCCCAUCAGUUGCAGAGUAGCCAUCAGGAUUGGUGGGGUUAAUAGCCAACUGAGUUAGUAUGUCUUCAGCAAUGAUAUCAUUAGUGAUACUAUCUUGCAACUCUUGUUUCCAUUGGGGAAUGACCUGUUGCAUUAUCAUAUUGAGUUCAGAGUCCUCAAAAACCCUAGAUAGGGCAUCAGCAGCACAAUUUUCUUUGCCCUUCUUAUAAACCACCGUGUAAUCAAACCCCAUUAGUUUAGAUAACCACUUUUGUUGGAGACUUGUAGUGAUCUUCUGCUCCAUGAUGUGCUUAAGAGCCUCCUGGUCAGUCUUGACAAUGAAGGAAUGACCCAGUAGGUAUGAUCUCCACUUCUGAGUGGCCAUAAUGACAGCCAACAACUCUUUUUCAUAAGUAGACAGGCCUAGAUGUUUAGGGCAGAGUGCUUUACUCAUAUAGGCUAUUGGUUGGCCUUCUUGCAUUAAGACAGCCCCAACUCCACUUUGACAAGCAUCGGUUUCAACUACUAGUGGUUUUGAGAAGUCCGGAAGUGCUAAGACCGGUGUACAUGACAUGAUCUCCUUCAGUUUGAUAAAAGCAGCUUCUGCCUCAAUGGUCCAACAAAAAUUUCCCUUCUUCAACAUUUGAGUUAAUGGCCUGCUGAUAAUACCAUAAUGUUGCACAAAUCUUCUGUAAUACCCGGUUAAUCCGAGGAAACCUCUCAAACCCUUAAUGGUCUUAGGUUUUGGCCAAUUAAGCAUGGCCGCAAUCUUGCUCUCGUCUGCAGAAACUCCCUGGGAGGAUAUUAUAUGACCAAGAUAUUCAAUCUGUGGCCUAGCAAAGACACACUUACUGCUUUUGACAAACAACUGGUGAGCUCGAAGUAUGUCAAAAACUUGUUUAAGGUGGGAUAUGUGUUCUUGCUCACUAGAACUGUAAAUCAGUAUAUCAUCAAAAAAAACAAGCACAAACUUUCUUAAAUAGGGGCUGAAAACAUCAUUCAUAAGAGCUUGAAAAGUGGCAGGGGCAUUUGUAAGCCCAAAAGGCAUAACCAUAAACUCAAAAUGGCCUUGAUGUGUUUUGAAAGCGGUUUUAAAAAUGUCCGUCUCAUUGACCCGAAUUUGAUGAUAACCACUUCGUAAAUCCAGUUUGGUGUACACUUUACUACCCUUCAAUUCAGCUAGUAAUUCUUCAAUAACUGGUAUGGGAAACUUAUUUUUAACAGUUAUUGAAUUGAGAGCUCUGUAAUCAACUACUAACCUCCAGGAAUUGUCCUUUUUUCUGACCAGAAGGACAGGUGCAGCAAAGGGGGAGCAACUGUUCCUGAUUAUGCCUGCAGCAAGCAUCUCAUUUGUGAUUUUUUCGAUUUCUUCCUUAUGAGCAAUUGGACAUCUAUAGGGGUUAGAUGUAGUCGGUUGGCUACCAGGUUUCAAGGGAAUGUUGUGGUCUUGUGAUCUUUGAGGAGGCAGAUGGUCCGGAGUCUGGAAUAUAUCAGCAUAUUGUGCUAACAGGGAACUAAUAGCAGGUGUAAGUUCAUCAGUAACGACAGGUUCAGAGUUGAGAGCACAGAGCUGAACUAAGAAAUAAGCAUCCUCUUGGUGGUAUUUGAUGGCCGGAUCAGAAUCUGUAGUUAAUUGAAUGAGGGGUUUCUGCUGAGAUUGUUGUAAUUUGACUUUGUUACCUUGCCAGUUAACUGUAAUGUUAUGUGAAUGGUAGUCAAAGGUAACUGGACUCACCAUAGACAUCCAGUUGACUCCGAGAAUGAUGUCGUAGCCUUUCAGGGGUAUCACAUUCAUGGGGGUGUAGAAUUGGUGGCCUGAAACUGUCCAAUCUACCCUGUUAAUCAUGGUGGAACACUCCAUAAUUUCACCAUUAGCGACAGUGAUCUGAAAUUUGUUGCAAGGUGAGGUUUGUAGACCCAGCUGUUUAACCAAGCCUUGAGAAAUGUAGUUGUGAGUAGAACCACUAUCAACUAGCAUCGAAAUACUCCUUCCCUUAAGCUGACCCUGCAAUUUCAAGGUGCAGUUGCUAGAUGAUCCAGUCAUAGCAUGGAGAGAUAUUUUUGCUUGUUCAGGAGGGUCUGAUAUUGGAAAAACAUUGUCAUCUUCCCAAAUAACAGCCAGAUCAUCAGUAGAGUUGUCGCCGCUUGAGGAUUCAUCUCCCAUCAUAACAUAAAUCUUCUUUUUUCUACAAUCAUGACCCCGCUCAUAUUUUUGGUCACAGUGAAAGCACAGACCCUUAAGUUUCCUCUCGUUGAUCUCAUCUAGAGAUAAUUUUCUGUAGGAUUCAGGCCCCUUUGAGCUAGUAGCAGGUGAGGUUUUCUCGGCGUUGGGCUUAGGAUAGGUAUUACCGGCAUUGGUGUUGGAAACAGAAGAAGAGUACUUCUGUGGUCUGUAUCUUUUAUCCAACACAGUAAGAUAGAAUUCUUGUCCCCUGGCUCUAUCCCUUGCUUCUUGUAAGGUUUGCGGUUUCUGGUUAUAAAGGUUCUGUGAAAUCUCCUCCUUGAGUCCACUAAUGAAGUUAUCAAUAUAAUAGGAUUCUCUGUGAAACCCUUCUUGAAGCAUGACAAAAUUUCUUAAUUCAUCAAAUUGGUUGAUAUAUUCAUCGACAGUGCCCUUUUGGACCAAUUUGUUGAACUGCCCCACAAUAUUUUCAUAGCCACCUUUAUUGAACCUUUGGCAGACAAGUCUGGUAAAUUCAGGCCACAACAAAUUGGUUUUCUCUUCCUCAAUAGUUCUAUACCAGAUGUCUGCGUCACCAUCCAUAUGCAAAGCAGCACAUAAAACUCUAGAUCUGAGAUCAAUAUUAGGCAUCAAGUGAAAGUAUUUUUCACACUUAGUGACCCAACUACGUGGAUCCUUGCCCUCAAAUCUAGGAAAAUCAAACUUUGGGGUCUUCAAGUUGUGUGUAGUAGGAAAAGGAGCAGAGUUAGGAUGUGGUUGGGCUGGUGUCCAAGUUGAUGGACCAGAAUGGGUAACUGUAGGCUGUGUAACUGGAAUAUGAUAGUUUGGGAAAGGAGGGGUGUAAGAGUUUUGAGUAAUUUGUGGGUAGACAGGAGGUGCAAAUGGGUUUAAAGUGGAGGGGUAAAGAUGUGGUUGUAUUUGGGGAAGGUUAAAGGGAAAAAAUCCUGGAGGAACAUUAGAUAUGUUGAAGUUUCGAAGGUCAGUGGUGGCAACAGGGUCUGGUGGUCUAAUAGGAGUAUCUAUAGAGGAGGAUAAAGUGGUUGAUGUAUGUUUUGGGUGUUUCUGGGUGGUAUUAACAUCAUGGAUUCGCAAAGAAUUACCAACAACAGCAUAAGUACUAGGUGUAGAGCAAGCAGAGAUUACCAGAUUAGGUUGUGGAGGAGAGGGUUUGCUAGAACUGCCUGCUUCAUGGACUGGUGUUGAAAUCCUGGCUUGGUUUUUCAUCAAUUCCAUGAGGUCAGAUAAGCUUUGCUUGAUGUCUUUGUUCUCAGUAGAGAAUUGCUCUCUGAUUUGUUGAAGUUGGUCAGAGGUAGAAAGCUGAAAAUCCUCCAUCGAAUCUAUUUUUUUCGCUAUUGCAGAAAGAGCUUGAUCAUACUUCUGUAAAGAUUGCUUCUCAGCCAUGAUUUAGAAUUUUCAAGGAAGGAUUGGCUCUGAUACCAAUUGUUAAGAAGAGAAAAGUAAUAGAUCUACUUUAACAAGAAAAUGAGAGCAGGAAGAGGAAAAUUCAUUCAGCUCUGAGAAUUACAACCAGGGGGGAGGCAUAAAUAACAACCUAGUACUAUUACUGACACAGGACCAUACACCAACAGGCUGUGCAUUGGCCCGUUAGAAUUAAACAAGCAAAACGAUGUAGGUUAAUAAACUAACAGAUUCCCUCCACUAAGCUGCAAAUGACCUCUAUUGUAUUCCCGCCUUUUAUGAUAGAUAAAUUGGUUUGGGCCAAUCGUAACAGAUGAACCCAAUUUUACAAUUGAGAUGCACAAUCAAUUAGCAAGAGAAAGUGGUCAAAGUGAAGCGAGGUGAGAAGAGAGCGGAGAGCGUAACUUCAGACUCGAGAGCUUCUGUUUUUCUUUUCUUUAAUUUUCAC
rnacentral:lncRNA from 1 species